UACGGAGGGUGCAAGCGUUAUCCGGAUUCACUGGGUUUAAAGGGUGCGUAGGAGGGCAGGUAAGUCAGUGGUGAAAUCUCCAAGCUUAACUUGGAAACUGCCGUUGAUACUAUCUGCCUUGAAUAUUGUGGAGGUGAGCGGAAUAUGUCAUGUAGCGGUGAAAUGCUUAGAUAUGACAUAGAACACCAAUUGCGAAGGCAGCUCACUACACAAUCAUUGACUCUGAGGCACGAAAGCGUGGGGAUCAAACAGG
rnacentral:rRNA from 1 species